rnacentral:rRNA from 1 species
UACGGAGGGGGCUAGCGUUGUUCGGAAUUAUUGGGCGUAAAGAGCUCGUAGGCGGUUUGUCGCGUCUGCCGUGAAAGUCCGGGGCUCAACUCCGGAUCUGCGGUGGGUACGGGCAGACUAGAGUGAUGUAGGGGAGACUGGAAUUCCUGGUGUAGCGGUGAAAUGCGCAGAUAUCAGGAGGAACACCGAUGGCGAAGGCAGGUCUCUGGGCAUUAACUGACGCUGAGGAGCGAAAGCAUGGGGAGCGAACAGG